GAAGGCAUUAGUAUUGUUGAUCUAACUGAGCGUCGUUUAGUAGCGUACCAUGAAGUAGGUCAUGCUUUAAUUGGUG
rnacentral:tRNA from 1 species